AGGAGAUAGUAUAAAUACAGAGCCACUUUGCCAGCAGAAAAAAAAAUGGUCCCUGCCCAGAAGACCUUACAGUCUGAAAUUUGGACAGAUGAAUAGCAGGAACUAAAUGUUCAGAGACACCUCGUGAUAUUCUGAAGACUACCAAGACAUGCAGAACCCAUCAUGAAACCCAGCAGAGUUCCAGCAGGCACUUGGAAACAGCAGCUUUAUUUCCAGUUUCCCCUUCAGUCUGCAGACAUUGGUUGUUCUGACACAUUUCCCUGCUAGCUGAAAAAGCUCCAUGGUACCCUGUAUUUUCUUCCCAUGAAGGUGCUUAUACAUUAUAAUUGAGUCACUUCUCAAUCUUCUUUUUAUAAUGAAAGAUAGAAUAAAACAGCCUGCGGCCUUUAGAGCAUAGGCAGCUUUCCAGAAGAGUUUAUGAAGGAGUAGAGGAAGUCUUAAUUUCCCUAUUUACAAUACAGUAUCAGUCAUCUCCCUUUUCAAAC